AGCGAACGCUGGCGGCAGGCCUAACACAUGCAAGUCGAACGAACUCUUCGGAGUUAGUGGCGGACGGGUGAGUAACACGUGGGAACGUGCCUUUUGGUUCGGAAUAACUCAGGGAAACUUGUGCUAAUACCGAAUGUGCCCUUCGGGGGAAAGAUUUAUCGCCAUUAGAGCGGCCCGCGUCUGAUUAGCUAGUUGGUGAGGUAACGGCUCACCAAGGCGACGAUCAGUAGCUGGUCUGAGAGGAUGACCAGCCACACUGGGACUGAGACCCGGCCCAGACGCCCAGGGGGGGGCGGAGGGGGGAAUCUUGGGGAGGGGGCAAAAUGCUGCAGCGCCCCGGCCGGGGGAAUGAUGAAGGGCUUGGGAUUGAAAAAUUCUUUCCACGGGGGCGAAAAUGCCGGUACCGGGAAAAAAAGCCCCGGCUAACUUCGU
rnacentral:rRNA from 1 species